rnacentral:sRNA from 1 species
AACUUACAAUGACAAAGUUUGCAGGAAAUUAAAAUAAGUUCGAAACAUAAUUUAAAUAAGAAUAGGAGAUGGGAGGUCAAACUCCUAAUUCUCUUCAAUCACUUCCAUCCUUGGGUUCUUUGGAAUUUCAUCAUAAUCUUCGACUGCGGCUGUAAAAGAGAAAAAACAAAAAUCGGUAUUGAUUAAUUGAUGUUUUGGUUAACGAAUACAAU